rnacentral:rRNA from 1 species
AUGGUUAUCGUUGUCCCGGUAAUGUUUAGAUUUGCAUGUUCACUUUUGUGCUAUGUUGUCUUAUACUCUGUGAUCAUGUUACAACUGCUAGUAUUACCUUUCAUAUGUUUAUGCUUGUUACUAGUACAUGUUGAUGUUGGAGAUGGUCAUGCGAGUCAGUAUGGAUGCUCAGUGGAUAUGAUUUAUUGUUGGUAUGGUGGAAAGUUAUGUGAUACUCUCAUGAUGAUGUUGAUAUCAUGUUCAUGUAUUAUAGUUGGCAUCAUGUUAUUUUAUCAUGGCUCAGCAUUUUUUCAUUCAAGUUAA